AUUGAACGCUGGCGGCAUGCUUUACACAUGCAAGUCGAACGGUAACAGGGUGCUUGCACCGCUGACGAGUGGCGAACGGGUGAGUAAUGCGUCGGAACGUGCCGAGUAGUGGGGGAUAACGCAGCGAAAGUUGUGCUAAUACCGCAUACGUACUGAGGUAGAAAGUGGGGGACCUUCGGGCCUCACGCUAUUCGAGCGGCCGACGUCUGAUUAGCUAGUAGGUGAGGUAAAGGCUCACCUAGGCGACGACCAGUAGCGGGUCUGAGAGGAUGAUCCGCCACGCUGGGACUGAGACACGGCCCAGACUCCGACGGGAGGCAGCAGUGGGGAAUUUUGGACAAUGGGCGAAAGCCUGAUCCAGCCAUGCCGCGUGUCUGAAGAAGGCCUUCGGGUUGUAAAGGACUUUUGUCAGGGAGGAAAUCCCUAGUGCUAAUAACACUGGGGGAUGACAGUACCUGAAGAAUAAGCACCGGCUAACUACGUGCCAGCCGCCGCAGUAA
rnacentral:rRNA from 1 species